rnacentral:misc_RNA from 1 species
GAUGAAGAACGCAGCAAAAUGCGAUAAGUAAUGUGAAUUGCAGAAUUCAGUGAAUCAUCGAAUCUUUGAACGCACAUUGCGCCCGCUGGUAUUCCGGCGGGCAUGCCUGUUCGAGCGUCAUUUCAACCCUCAAGCCCCCGGGUUUGGUGUUGGGGAUCGGCUCUGCCCUUCUGGGCGGUGCCGCCCCCGAAAUACAUUGGCGGUCUCGCUGCAGCCUCCAUUGCGUAGUAGCUAACACCUCGCGACUGGAACGCGGCGCGGCCAUGCCGUAAAACCCCAACUUCUGAAUGUUGACCUCGGAUCAGGUAGGAAUACCCGCUGAACUUAAGCAUAUCAAAAGCGGAGGA